rnacentral:rRNA from 1 species
AUGAAAGUAAAGAGUUGAGUUUAUGAUUAAAAAAAUUUUUUUUUUUUUCAUUUCUCUCUUAAGGGAAGAUGAAAAUUUAAUCAACAAUAUAUUUAUAUAUUGUUAAUAUAAAUUUUUCGCACUCCCAGGGCGCUUGUUUCACGCUUUGCGUGUCAAUGCGCACCUAGAGCGUACACGCUGAUACCCGAAAGAUGGUGAACUAUGCCUGGCCAGGACGAAGCCAGGGGAAACCCUGGUGGAGGUCCGCAGCGAUUCUGACGUGCAAAUCGAUCGUCGGAGCUGGGUAUAGGGGCGAAAGACCAAUCGAACCAUCUAGUAGCUGGUUCCCUCUGAAGUUUCCCUCAGGAUAGCUUGCGCUCGGUUGAGAAGAGUCUCAUCCGGUAGAGCGAAUGAUUAGAGGCAUUGGGGUCGAAACGACCUCAACCUAUUCUCAAACUCCAAAUAGAUGAGACCCCCGGCUUUCUUAAAAUUGAAGCCGUGGGAAUAGGAUCARAGUGCCAAGUGGGCCAAUUUUGGUAA